CCUACGGGUGGCUGCAGUGGGGAAUAUUGGACAAUGGGCGAAAGCCUGAUCCAGCCAUGCCGCGUGUGUGAAGAAGGCCUUCGGGUUGUAAAGCACUUUCAGUGGGGAAGAAAGCCUUGGGGCUAAUACCCUCGAGGAAGGACAUCACCCACAGAAGAAGCACCGGCUAACUCCGUGCCAGCAGCCGCGGUAAUACGGAGGGUGCGAGCGUUAAUCGGAAUUACUGGGCGUAAAGCGCGCGUAGGCGGUCUGAUAAGCCGGUUGUGAAAGCCCCGGGCUCAACCUGGGAACGGCAUCCGGAACUGUCAGGCUAGAGUGCAGGAGAGGAAGGUAGAAUUCCCGGUGUAGCGGUGAAAUGCGUAGAGGUCGGGAGGAAUACCAGUGGCGAAGGCGGCCUUCUGGACUGACACUGACGCUGAGGUGCGAAAGCGUGGGUAGCAAACAGGAUUAGAUACCCUUGUAGU
rnacentral:rRNA from 1 species